UACGUAGGCAGCAAGCGUUGUUCGGAGUUACUGGGCGUAAAGGGUGUGUAGGCGGUUGUUUAAGUUUGGUGUGAAAUCUCCCGGCUCAACUGGGAGGGUGCGCCGAAUACUGAAUGACUAGAGUGCGGGAGAGGAAAGUGGAAUUCCUGGUGUAGCGGUGAAAUGCGUAGAUAUUGGGAGGAACACCAGUGGCGAAGGCGGUCCCCUGGGCCGGAACUGACGCUGAGGCGCGAAAGCGUGGGUAGCAAACGGG
rnacentral:rRNA from 1 species